CUCAAAGUUCUGCAGUAACCCCAACAACCCGUGGUAGUUUACUGCAGGCUUUGUCAUUCGAAAAUAAGUAAGGAAUGGGAGGAAGGACUUGGGUAAGAAAUUAAGGAUCGCAUCCUUACCGAGCUGCUCGUGCAGAGGAAAAUCCAAUUUGCUCAGGCACUCAAUCAUCUCGAUCAUGUACAGUACAUGAUCAGUGACUGAGGCUCCAUCCCUCAUCCGAGCAUUGAAAAUGGCACAACUAGUUUUGUGCCUUUCAACAUCGUCAGGCAUGCCAAAGGAGUCGUUCAACAUUUGAAGCAUCUCCUGUGGCUGGGCGUUCUCAAACCUGCGGCUGAACUCNNNNNNNNNNNNNNNNNNNNUCAGUCACGUUCAGUGCAGAUGUACCAUUACAUCUCACCUAUAUGCCAUACCAGUAUCUCCACACUCCUUGGUUAUGAGGACAACCAACCCAUAUGGCACACAACAACCUAUGCUCGAUAAACAUUGUCGUCCUUGGUAACAACGUAUCAUUUGGUCACGAACAGGUUUAAGGACUAAGCGACAAAUCCUCCUUUGUCGAGUCUAAAUAGUCCUAAGGACUUCACCACAACACAGGAGUUCAUUAGAAGAUGAAACAUUUAUGAUGAAAAAAUAUCAAAAUAAUUUUUAUUUAUUUAUAAUUCAUGUACUAAUACAAAAGGAGCACAACCGUCAAUAGGCUGACGAUUGGCUUUGGAACACUAUUCCCAACAAUCUCCCACUUGACCUAAAGUCAAUCGGUGCAGUAUCUAAUACCCAUCUUUGACUUGUAGUCGUUGAACUCCUUCACCGC
rnacentral:lncRNA from 1 species